AUGACCCCCACAGGCCUGUGGAGAGGAGAGGGGGGUCACUGCACAGCACGAGCCCCCUGGCACAGCGGGGAUGCCAGGGUGCAGCCCGGCAGGGGGCUGCCCUUACCAGAUGUCGGUGACGCUGGAGACGGGGCUCUGGUUGACGAUCUCGGGGCCCACGAACUCGGGGGUGCCGUACUUGCAGUACUGCGGCUCGUCGGGCGUCAGCUCCUGCGCGUUGCCGAAGUCGCAGAUGCGCACCUGCUCGCUGCUCGAAUCCGCCAUCAGGAGGUUUUCUGGCUACAGGACACGCGGGGCGGCUGGGAGCUUGGCGGGAGGCUCCCGGGGCGGGGAGGGGCAGGGCAGGACACGGGGGCUGCCCCCCGAGCUGGGGGCCGUGGGGAGAGCACUCACUUUGAUGUCCAGGUGCAGCACGUGGUGCUGGUGCAGGUAGCAGAUCCCCUCCAGGAUCUGCCGCAUGUAGGAGCGGACCUGCCAGAGCAGAGGCGGGGUGGGGAUGGCACCCAGGGGACCAUCACGGUCCCCUCAGCCCCUCAUGGGACCAGGCAGGGGAUGGAGAGGGCUGUCACCUCCCUUUGGGCAUGGCGCAAUGUCCCUGGGCGGGGACAGCCCCACAUGUCCCCAGCCGUCCUCUCCACCCCAUGGCUUUGCCCUGCCAGGGCUCACCCACCUCGGACUCACACACCGAGGGCUUCCUCGCCAUCCUGUCCAGCAACUCGUCCUCGGCACAGCUGGGAGCUGGUCAAGGAGCACAGGAACGCCGUGCCCCCCUCGGCACCCCGCCGCCAUGCACCCACCCUGCCCACCCGUGUCCCCCCGGCCACGCAGUCCCGGAGGAUACAGCUCCAUCACCAUGAUGACGGCGUUCUUCUUCUCGAAGGCAUCGUGGAAGAAGACGAUGCGCUCGUGGUCCAGCUGCGAGAGGAUGUGCAGCUCCCGGCGCGCCGACUGCUUGGCCUUGGUCCUGCCGGGGACGAACUUGGCGGCGAAGUCCAGCCGGCUGCUCUUCUCCGUCACCCUCCGCAGGUAGGAGAAAGCCCCCCUGCAACGUGGGGAGGGAUGGGAAGGGGCUGGCAGGGCAGCUGGAGGCACCCCCGUCCCUGCAGGCACUGGGGUCUGCAGGGAGCUGCCCCAGGAGCACCAGGACCGCCCUUAGGGGACCUGGUGGCCCCGUACCUCCCGAUCUCCUCGUGCACGUCGUAG
rnacentral:lncRNA from 1 species